GCUGGGCGUGGUGGCACAUGCCUGUAAUCCCAGCUACUCGGGAGGCUGAGGCAGGAGAAUUGCUUGAGCCCGGGAGACGGAGGUUGCAGUGAGCAGAGAUCAUGCCACUGCACUCCAGCCUGGCCGACAGAGCGAGACUCUGUCUCAA
rnacentral:sRNA from 1 species